rnacentral:rRNA from 1 species
UGGGGAAUAUUGCGCAAUGGGCGAAAGCCUGACGCAGCGACGCCGCGUGAGGGAUGAAGGUUUUCGGAUCGUAAACCUCUGUCAGAAGGGAAGAAACCGCACUGUGCUAAUCAGCAGUGCCUUGACGGUACCUUCAAAGGAAGCACCGGCUAACCCCGUGCCAGCAGCCGCGGUAAUACGGAGGGUGCAAGCGUUAAUCGGAAUUAUUGGGCGUAAAGCGCACGUAGGCUGCUUUGUAAGGCAGGGGUGAAAUCCCACGGGUCAACCGUGGGACUGCCGUUGAUACUGCUUAGCUUGAAUCCGGGAGGAGGUGGCGGGAAUCCAGGGGUAGGAGUGAAAUCCGUAGAUAUCUGGAGGAACAUCAGUGGCGAAGGCGGCCACCUGGACCGGUAUUGACGCUGAGGUGCGAAAGCGUGGGGGGCAAACAGG